rnacentral:tRNA from 2 species
GCAGCCGUGGCCUAGUCGUAAGGCGUCCGUCUCCUAAACGGAAGAUCCCGGGUUCAAAUCCCGGCGGUUGUG